rnacentral:rRNA from 1 species
CCUACGGGCGGCAGCAGUGGGGAAUUUUGCGCAAUGGGGGCAACCCUGACGCAGCAACGCCGCGUGAGUGAUGAAGGCCUUCGGGUCGUAAAGCUCUGUCAGAGGGGAAGAAAUGCAGGUGGUGAACAACCAUUCUGUUUGACGGUACCCUCAAAGGAAGCACCGGCUAACUCCGUGCCAGCAGCCGCGGUAAUACGGAGGGUGCGAGCGUUGUUCGGAAUUAUUGGGCGUAAAGCGCGUGUAGGCGGUUUGUUAAGUCUGAUGUGAAAGCCCCGGGCUCAACCUGGGAAGUGCAUUGGAUACUGGCAGACUUGAGUACGGGAGAGGAGAGUGGAAUUCCCAGUGUAGGAGUGAAAUCCGUAGAUAUUGGGAGGAACACCGGUGGCGAAGGCGGCUCUCUGGACUAAUACUGACGCUGAGGCGCGAAAGCUAGGGGAGCAAACGGAAUUAGAUCCCCCGGUAGU